GACGAACGCUGGCGGCGUGCCUAAUACAUGCAAGUAGAACGCACAGUUUAUACCGUAGCUUGCUACACCAUAGACUGUGAGUUGCGAACGGGUGAGUAACGCGUAGGUAACCUGCCUGGUAGCGGGGGAUAACUAUCGGAAACGAUAGCUAAUACCGCAUAAUAUUAAUUAUUGCAUGAUAAUUAAUUGAAAGGUGCAAUUGCACCACUACCAGAUGGACCUGCGUUGUAUUAGCUAGUAGGUGAGGUAACGGCUCACCUAGGCGACGAUACAUAGCCGACCUGAGAGGGUGAUCGGCCACACUGGGACUGAGACACGGCCCAGACUCCUACGGGAGGCAGCAGUAGGGAAUCUUCGGCAAUGGACGAAAGUCUGACCGAGCAACGCCGCGUGAGUGAAGAAGGUUUUCGGAUCGUAAAGCUCGGUUGUAAGAGAAGAACGGGUGUGAGAGUGGAAAGUUCACACUGUGACGGUAUCUGACCAGAAAGGGACGGCUAACUACGUG
rnacentral:rRNA from 1 species